CUCGAAUUUAAACCAAUAUAUUAAUCCCAACGAUGGUGACAUAUCAGUUUUCAAUCAAUACAACCAUUUAACGAGCAAUCAUAAAUUUAACCCAGCUUUUAAACCUUCCUUAUUUAAUAUCUUCACUAUAGGUCGGAGGAGUAAAGGUACUACACCAUUUUUAUAUAGCACGCUAAAUACUAAGGCCACUAGACUAUCAAUGCUAAAUAUAGAUGGCAUAUAUGAUACUAAAAUAAAUAAAGCGACUGUUAGAAACUUCGAGGAAGACAAUUUUUUUGACAAUAAUAACGAAAUCGACCAAAUGUUCGAAUCCCUUUCGGUCAAAAAAUCUUUUUCGCAAAAUCAUCUCAAUAGGUAUCAGAAACAAAAUUCUCCAUCUUACUCAUCAGUUAACUUUAAUUCAUCAAAGCCUAUUAACAUGACUAACUCAUAUUUAUUUUGUACAAAG